rnacentral:rRNA from 1 species
GUAGGGUGCGAGCGUUAAUCGGAAUUACUGGGCGUAAAGCGUGCGCAGGCGGUUCGUUGUGUCGGUGGUGAAAGCCCCGGGCUUAACCUGGGAAUGGCCAUGGAAACUGGCGAACUGGAGUGUGGCAGAGGGGGGUGGAAUUCCGCGUGUAGCAGUGAAAUGCGUAGAGAUGCGGAGGAACACCGAUGGCGAAGGCAGCCCCCUGGGCUAACACUGACGCUCAGGCACGAAAGCGUGGGGAGCAAACAGGAUUAGAUACCCUGGUAGUCCACGCCCUAAACGAUGUCAACUGGGUGUUCGGGAAGUGAUUUCUGAGUACCGUAGCUAACGCGUGAAGUUGACCGCCUGGGGAGUACGGCCGCAAGGUUA